GACGAACGCUGGCGGCGUGCCUAAUACAUGCAAGUCGAACGCACGGAGGAAGAACUUGUUCUUCUGAAGUGAGUGGCGCACGGGUGAGUAACACGUGGGAAACCUACCCUUCAGCGGGGGAUAACCAUCGGAAACGAUGACUAAUACCGCAUAGACGACAGAGUCGCAUGACUCAAUCGGGAAAGACGGCUUCGGCUGUCACUGAAGGAUGGUCCCGCGGUGCAUUAGCUAGUUGGUAAGGUAACGGCUUACCAAGGCGAUGAUGCAUAGCCGACCUGAGAGGGUGAUCGGCCACAUUGGGACUGAGACACGGCCCAAACUCCUACGGGAGGCAGCAGUAGGGAAUCUUCCGCAAUGGACGCAAGUCUGACGGAGCAACGCCGCGUGUGUGAAGAAGGUUUUCGGAUCGUAAAGCACUGUUGUUAGAGAAGAACACCCAUUAUAGUAACUGAUAGUGGAUUGACGGUAUCUAACCAGAAAGUGACGGCUAACUACGUGCCAGCAGCCGCAGUAAGAC
rnacentral:rRNA from 1 species